GAUGAACGCUAGCUACAGGCUUAACACAUGCAAGUCGAGGGGUAACGAGAGGAAGGCUUGCUUUCCUUGUUGACGACCGGCGCACGGGUGAGUAACGCGUAUCCAACCUGCCCCCAACUAGGGAAUAACCUUGCGAAAGUAAGACUAAUACCCUAUAAUUUCCUCAGAUGACAUCUGACGAGGAAUAAAGAUUUAUCGGUUGUGGAUGGGGAUGCGUCUGAUUAGCUUGUUGGCGGGGUAACGGCCCACCAAGGCAACGAUCAGUAGGGGUUCUGAGAGGAAGGUCCCCCACAUUGGAACUGAGACACGGUCCAAACUCCUACGGGAGGCAGCAGUGAGGAAUAUUGGUCAAUGGGCGGAAGCCUGAACCAGCCAAGUAGCGUGCAGGAUGACGGCCCUAUGGGUUGUAAACUGCUUUUAUACAGGAAUAAAGUUAGCCACGUGUGGUUAUUUGUAGGUACUGUAUGAAUAAGGACCGGCUAAUUCCGUGCCAGCCGCCGCCGUAA
rnacentral:rRNA from 1 species